AACGAACGCUGGCGGCAGGCUUAACACAUGCAAGUCGAGCGAAUCGAUGGGAGCUUGCUCCCUGAGAUUAGCGGCGGACGGGUGAGUAACACGUGGGUAACCUGCCUGUAAGACUGGGAUAACUUCGGGAAACCGGAGCUAAUACCGGAUACUUUCUUUUCUCGCAUGAGGGAAGAUGGAAAGAUGGUUCUGCUAUCACUUACAGAUGGACCCGCGGCGCAUUAGCUAGUUGGUGAGGUAACGGCUCACCAAGGCAACGAUGCGUAGCCGAACUGAGAGGGUGAGCGGCCACACUGGGACUGAGAAACGGCCCAGACUCCUACGGGAGGCAGCAGUAGGGAAUCUUGCGCAAUGGACGAAAGUCUGACGGAGCAACGCCGCGUGAGCGAAGAAGGCCUUCGGGUCGUAAAUCUCUGUUGUUAGGGAAGAACAAGUACGAGAGUAACUGCUCGUACCUUGACGGUACCUAACCAGAAAGCCCCGGCUAACUACGUGCCAGCAGCCGCGGUAACAC
rnacentral:rRNA from 1 species